AUGGACGAGCAGUUCAUCCUCCGCGUGCCCCCAUCCGUGGCGGAGCAGAUCGAGCGGCUUAUGAACGAAUCUGCCGCCGGCUCAUCCUCCAACCCCGACGACGCCUCCCUCGACCUCUCCUUCUCAGAGGAUGGAAGGAGUGGCACAUUUAUGAUUGGUAACCAGAGGUUUCCUGCAUCUCUCUUGGAUCUCCCAACCGUUGUGGAGUCAUAUAAGACAUAUGAUGAUUCCUUUUUAGUUAAAACUGCUGAUAUUGGUCAGAUGAUAAUGGUAAGAGAAGAAGAUGAUCCUGCUCCAGAAGGAGUUGAAUACAAGCAUGGACUUACUCCUCCAAUGAGGGAUGCACGCAGGCGACGUUUUCGCAGAGAGCCUGACUUGAGUGCAGAGCUUGUUCACCGAGUUGAGAAGGAUCUUAUAAGUAUUAUGCAAGGAGUGCCUGUCAACCAGAAUGUUGGUGUAGCUGGAGGCGGUGAAGGUGGUGACCGCAAGAAGGCUGCACCAGCUCCUGCACCCAAGCCUGACGUUCAAGAGCCUGCUGCAAAUGGCGAAGAAGCUGAGGCUGAUCGGAGCGACUCUGAUGAGUCGGACAGCUGA
rnacentral:rRNA from 1 species